AGGAAUAUUGUGCAAUGGGGGAAACCCUGACACAGCCAUGCCGCGUGUGUGAAGAAGGCCCUAGGGUUGUAAAGCACUUUCAGUAGGGAGGAACUAGCAGGGCUAAUACCUCUGUGAAAUGACGUUACCUACAGAAGAAGAUCCGGCUAACUCCGUGCCAGCAGCCGCGGUAAUACGGAGGGAUCGAACGUUAAUCGGAAUUACUGGGCGUAAAGCGCGCGUAGGUGGUUUGUUAAGUGGGAUGUGAAAGCCCCGGGCUUAACCUGGGAACUGCAUUCCAAACUGACAAACUAGAGUACGAUAGAGGGGGGUAGAAUUCAGAGUGUAGCGGUGAAAUGCGUAGAUAUUCU
rnacentral:rRNA from 1 species